rnacentral:ncRNA from 1 species
ACCUUAGCGCCAGCACCUGUAUGGAGGGAUUAUCGUGACUUGCUGACAGAGUAUUGGUUCAAAGGCUUGAUCGAUAUUGAUACAGGUUGACGAGGAGGAAGGUUAUCGAAAUUUCGGCGGAUGCUUUCCCGCAUUGUUACCGGAUGCGAUAUGUGAGAUUAAAUAUGAGGGUAACUUCAAAACAGAGGUCUU